CCUACGGGUGGCAGCAGUGAGGAAUAUUGGUCAAUGGCCGGAAGGCUGAACCAGCCAAGCCGCGUGAGGGAGGAAGGCGCAGAGCGUCGCAGACCUCUUUUGCCGGGGGACAAAAGGCCGGACGGGUCCGGUUCUGAGGGUACCCGGAGAAAAAGCAUCGGCUAAGUCCGUGCCAGCAGCCGCGGUAGUACGGAGGAUGCGAGCGUUAUCCGGAGUCAUUGGGUUUAAAGGGGGCGCAGGCGGGCCUUUAAGCGGGCGGUGCAAGCGGGGGGCUCAACCCCGCCGGGCCGUCGGAACUGGGGGGCUUGAGUGCGGGGGAGGCAUGCGGAAUGCGCGGGGUAGCGGUGAAAUGCAUAGAUAUCGCGCAGAACCCCGAUUGCGAAGGCAGCGUGCCGGGCCGCCACUGACGCUGAGGCACGAAAGCGCGGGGAGCGAACAGGAUUAGAUACCCUGGUAGUC
rnacentral:rRNA from 1 species